rnacentral:pre_miRNA from 1 species
CAUUUCAACUGAAAAUGUCAUGAACACAAAAGUUGUAGAAUAGAUCGAGAUCUACAAAUUUUAUUUUGGUCAUUUGUUCAUUCGACAAAGUGAUAGUAACAUUGUUCUUAAAAUUUACACAUCUCUCUUAUAAUCUAUGAAAUCAUAGUACAAAUAUGUAAAAUUUGUAAACAAUGUUACUAUCACAUUGUCGGAUGAAUAAAUAAGCAAAAUAAAAAUUGUGGAUCUAGAUGGAUUAUACAACUUUGUUGUUGAUGACUUUUUCAGUUAAAGUC